rnacentral:snRNA from 1 species
AUAGUUGCUACAAGUCUAAAUAU